AGUGAACGCUGGCGGCAGGCCUAACACAUGCAAGUCGAACGGCAACACAGUAAGAGCUUGCUCUUAAGGGUGGCGGGUGGCGGACGGGUGAGGAAUAGAUCGGAAUCUACUUUUUCGUGGGGAACAACGUGAGAAAACUGCUGAUACCACCUAAUACAUCCUACGGCAGAAAGCAGGGGAUCUUGGCGCUUUGCCCGUUUCAUUUAGCCGAUGUCGCAUUAGCUAGUUGGGGGGGUAAGGGCCCACCAAGGCGACGAUCCGUAGCGGGUCUGAGAGGAUGAUCGGCCACACUGGAACUGAGACACGGUCCAGACUCCUACGGGAGGCAGCAGUGGGGAAUAUUGGGCAAUGGGCGCAAGCCUGACCCAGCCAUGCCGCGUGGGUGAAGAAGGCCUUCGGGUUGUAAAGCCCUGUUGUUGGGAAAGAAAAGCAGCAGGAGAAUCCCCGGCCGUUCUGACGGUACCCAAAGAAAAAGCCCCGGCUAACUUCGUG
rnacentral:rRNA from 1 species